GACUGAGCUGUGAGUCUUAUCAGGCAGAGGUGGGGCUGAGUGGCCAAAGGCAGCAAAUGGAGCUCUCAUUGGGACAGAAAUGCUUCUCAUCUAUCACUGGGAUCUGAUUUUUAGAACUGCUUCCAGGAGACAGUCCCCAGGUGAAUCUUGGCUGGUGAAAAAAGGAGGUCUUGGAACUACAUGUUCAGAAAGGGAAAGCAGUGAGCCACAGACAGAUUUCAGCAAUUGGAAAGCAAAAAACCCAAGGAUUUUGCCGGCGGUCCAGUAAUGUUCUGAUCUGCUGCAAAACUUUACAGUCAGCACAGCCGUCUGUGCAGGUCUUGGUCAUAUUUAAAUAGGAAUUGACAAGUCUCCAAAGCUUUGAUGGUUGAUUUGGCCAGGUGUUCAGAAGGCCUUUGGCUAAUUCCAAUUCUCUUCUCUGUCUCAGUUAAGACAUCAGUCCACAGAUCUUGAGUGCAAGCUCUCUGUUAUCAUUCCUCACAACUCUCAUUCAAUACGGUUAGAAUUAAGAACAUUUUUUUUCUCCAUGUUCUGGAAGAUUUCUGUGCACAUCUAGUAAAUAGAUAUUAAACAUUGUUCAAGAAAAGUGGUAUGUGGAAAGGACUGACUUUUCUUUUUUCUUUUUCUUUUUUCUUUUUUUACUAGAGAAUUAGAUUUCUUCUUUUUUACUGAGCCAUACACAUCUGUCCUGAGUUUUCAUUGCUGGAUUAAAGGCAUUAAAGAAAUAUCAACAGAGUAAUAUCUUAACUUAUUAUUUUUCACCUGUUGAUAAUCCUUGGCAUUUAAAAUGUCAUUAUUUUAUUUUUGAGACAGAGCUUUAUGAAGAAACCCUCUGUGUGGUGUUUAUUGUGCAAUAAAUAUCAUGUUCCGCAAC
ensembl:lncRNA